CCUCUACACCGAAUACUCAAGAGUAUUAAUCCUCUGUCUGAAUGGUCUUUCCACCCGGAAGAGACUACAUGACCACACUCACACCAGUGUGUCAAAGGAGGGCCCCCACACAGGCCCCUUACAGGAUUGACGGGAUUCUGAGGGAUUCUCUUGUAACCACUACCAGUCAUUCCUGGAACAGCUAAGGGGAAACUAAAAUUAAAGGGACCCCUUGUCAAGUUCUGGCAGAUGCACAAGUUACACUCUGUACUUUGAACCCCACUUGCUCCAGAGCUCACAGAUGGGAAUCCUGGAAAAAGAAGGGUGAGAAUCCUUACCUGAGUUUGCUCUCCCAAGUUACUGUGGCCCACUCAAGAGAGGAAGGAAUCAAAGUUGUUCUCAUCAGAAGGGAAAAACUGUGGGAGAGUGGUGUUCUCCAAGGUGGAAAAUGUCGUCUUCACAAGUAUCAGUGAAAAGUUGAAGUCCCCUUGACUCACCCUUUUACCAGAAGCAUGAUGUGAGUGUGAUCCUCUUAUAAAUGGACCCUUGAUUGUUUUACUCUGAUGAUUCUGCAAAACUGAAACGCAUGGAAAGAACCCUACCAAGAACUCUGGACCGCUGACAUUCCUGCCAAAUUAGAAGGUGCUGAACCUGGGGUGCCUAUGUCCCAACUGAGGAAGGCUCCAUCUGACUUUGGGUCCGGUACAAAAGCCGGAGACCUCAAACUCAAAUGGACCAGCAAGAGAGGUCGACCGCUUCUUCCCAAGAUGGGGGG